GGGCCAAGGGUGGGGGAGGGGUCGGGGGAUGAGGGCUGGAAGGCGCCCUGUCCGCACUUCGCUCUGGCGGCGGUUCUCUCCCGCUGCCCGUGCCCUGGGUCCCAGGAAGCGCGCUCGCUGUGUGACGCUAAACAAGUGUGCACACCUCUCUGAGCCUCAGGGACUUCUAGCAAAAUGGUGGAGCUGGUACCCGGCUGUACGGCAAAUUGGGAGCGGCGUAGGGUAGCGCUUAAGAGCGAGGACUCUGUGGAGUCCUUACUCCGCCGCCAGAUAACUUCCGUAAACUAAGGACAAUAAUAGUGCCACCUCAUAGGUUUGUUAAGAUUAACUGAGUUAAUAUUUAUAAAGUGUUUAGAACAGUGUCUGUUUCGUGCUAAGUGCUAUUUAAGUAUUUGUUAGAUUAACUACAGGAGGUCUCGCUCCGAGAUUUUCUCCUAACCCCCGUCCACCCCCAACAUUCCUGUUUGCCAGCCAAGCCUUGCUUUAGCACGGGCUGGGCCCUCUGCCUGAAAAUCCAUACCCACCUCUUCUCUGGGCUUUCGCAUCAUUCCUUUAUGAAGUCUUCUCUACUCCUGACAGGACAUGUGAGUCUAUGGCAACAGAUCAUUCACACUGGGAGAAGCCAGCUGGUAUGUUGUAAGCAGCCCUAUGGAGAGUUCCAUGUGAUGAGCAACAGAGGUUUCCUGCUAACAGCCACAUCAAGCCUUCAGAUGACCACAGCUCUGGCCAACAUCUGGGUUGCAACCUACGAGAGACACUGAGCCAGAGCCAUGCAGUCUAGGCUGGAGGGAGCGAGUGAAAGCAAGGAGACCAGUGGGGAGCCCAUGGAUGCCAUGUGGAUGAGAGGCUUUCUCUUGCUGUCUGUUCCAUCACUUGAUCUGGGGGAAGGCUGCUACUGGCAUGACACGAAGACAGUCAGGCAGCCCUAUGGAGAGACCUAGGUGGUGAGGAACUGAGUUCUUCUGCCAAAAGCCAUGUGAAGGCACCACUGGAAGCCAUCCUCUGGUCCCAGUCAAGCUUUCAGAUAACUGCAGCUUUCCUUGACGUCUUGACUACAACCCGGAGAGACUGUGAGCCAGAGCCACCAGGAAGAAGCUCCAGAAUGCAGGACCCACAGCAACCGAGAUAGUGUUUGUCAUUUUAAGCCAAAGUUUUGGUGGAAUUUGUUUUUCAGUAGAUAACAAAUCGGUAUCUUUAUGAUAUCCCCAAUGAUUCUUGAUCUUGGUGUUAGUAUUAUUAUUCCCAUCUGAAAAAUGGGGAUAAAAAUUGUGUCUCACUCAUAGAGCUGUUUGUGAGGAUGUAAAAUGCUCAGAAUGGUGCCAAGAACAGAGUGGGGAUUCAAUGGAUAUUAAUAGUAGUAGGGUUAGUAGUAAUCUCAAGAUUCAAAAUCCCAGCAAAGAGAAUCUGAUCAGCCUGGCUUGGGUUAUGUGCCCUCUUCUUGGGCAAGGAAGCACAGGGCGCUUUGAUUGAAAGCCCACUGAGUCUAUAUUUACUCAAAGGAAAUGAAGAUGUUGCUGACAGAUUAAGGGGCAAAGGUUGCUAGGCAAGCGAAAGCAACAUAGGUUACAAAGGGUGUGCGUACUUUGAAGGUUCCUUAUACAUAAAGCCAAAUUGCUUUCCAAACAUGUAUCAAUAUCCGCUCCUGCCAACAGCAGGAGAGCCUCCUUCUCUCUCCAUCUUUGCUAACAUUGCUAUUAUCCUGAAGAAAAAAAGAGCCAGUUUAAUGACUCUUAUUGUUGCUUAAGUCUACACUUCUUUACUAGUGAAGUUGAACAUGUUUCCAUGUUCCAAUGGCCAUUUGUAUUACCUGUCUGGUGAAUUAAGGAACACGCAUCUAAAAAGUGCAAUUUAGAAUUAUUUUUAUAGAUUUAUGGGAAUUAUGUAUGUGUUAAUAGUAUCUAGUUAGUUUUUUAAACUUUUUGCUGACAGUGUUACAUUUUCAACAAUGGAAAUCGAUCAAGCUUUUUAUUUGUUCUAUUCUUUUAUCCUUGGAAAGUCUAUCACGUUCCAGAAGUUAGAGAACUAUCUAUCUACCUGUAUUCUUUUGGUGAAUGGUUAUUUUAUUAUUUUCAUUUGAUUUGAAUUUAUGAUUUUGACAUAUGGUAUGCAAUGUGGGUCUUAAAACCAGAUUAUUUUAUUUUAUUUUUUUGUGGACUUAUAUGUUUUAAUGUCUGCUGCCCUUCUCCCACCCUCACAAGUGGAAGGGUUUGGAAGAUUACCACUCAAAUGUAUGUUCCCAAAGUUCUCUAUGUUCGAGUUCCCACUCUGAAGCUUCACAACAACCAAAGUGAGCACAGAGUGGACAGUGGGGUGUGUGUUUAAGGCCACAGAGUUUUGAGUCCUCUGGGGAAUGGCAAUAAGGUACAGGAGUUCUUCAUGGAAAUGGGAAAGAAAUAGUGAUGGGGGGCUGAGGAAAAGGCAUCUCCUUCUUGAAAUCCUGGUGUGGAGGCCCAAGGUUUCUUGACUCCAGCUACCAAUGCUGACAACUCCUUCAAAGAGAAGAACGCAUCAGCCCCUUUGCCAUGUGCUGUCAUCGGAGGGGCUGAUUUUGCUGGCAGUCUUGGAGGGUGGGUGAUAACCUGUAAGUUUAGCUGAAAGAUAAACACCAGCUUCAACUUACACCUGAAAGCCCAGAAAGCAAAGGAGUGGUCAUUAUUUACCACCCAUUUGCCACUGGCCCUCCAGAACAAAAACUCGUGUGAUUUUCACCUUCUGCUGGAUUGCCACUGCAUAGGAGUCCCCCACUCACACCCAAAUUGCAGUCUAUUUAAGAGGUUGGUAGCUAAAAGGAGAGGGACAAAGCUGAACAGUUACAACAGGUGGGUGCUCUCGAGGCUAAGGUGCAGUGAAAGAGAGAAUCGUAACAAAAGACCAGCCAGAACUCCUAAGAUGAUGCAACUGAACCUGAAAAAGGCUUUCCAAAACUGUAGGACAGGAUUUCUGAAUUUAGAGACUUGGCAGGUUGGUUAAAAAGUAUGGUUGGAACUGAGGACUGAAUUACCAUUCUGAUUGUUUAAAAAAAAAAUCUUAUAAUCCAGUAUAAAAAUACAAAAGAAACAGAAAUCUUGAGUGGAAAAAAGUAGUUGACUCAAAUGAUAGAUCUAGGAGGCUGAGCAUGCUAAUAAUAGGAAUUACAGAGGGUAAAAAAGGGAAAAUAGAUGGAGAAGUAAUAAUUAAAGCAUGAAUAGAAAAAUGCAGCUUUGUCCAGUUAAGUGUGGGCUAAAUUUACCAUUGAAAAGCCCACGCUAAUUCCAGUUCCUUGGCCUACAUGUGACAAACACACAUGAGUGUAUAUAAUUAAAAGAAAAAAAAAAAAGAGGGAUUAUAGAUGAAAACUUCCUGGAGCAAAAGAAAGGUGAGCCUUCAGAUUGAAAGAGCUCAAAUAAUCCAAGGUACCAUUUUUAAAAAAGGCAAAAAGUCACUUCCGUGGAAGUUUCUAAACUUCGACGAUAAAGAGAAAAUCUUAUAAACAGAACAGGUUACCUCCAGAGGGGAAAAAAGAAUCUGACUAAUGUUGGCUAUUUCAUUGACAACAAUGAGGGAUAAAAGAGAGUUGGUCAAUGUCUACAGACUACUGAGCACAACAGAUUGUGUGAUCCAAUAAUCCUAAAUCCAGCAAGGGCAUAACUCAAUUGACAGCACAAAAGAAAAACAUAUGAAGAUUCAGAGAAACUACCACACAUGGACUCCUGCUAAGAAAAAUAUUUUAUCAAAUGGAAAAUUGAAUUAAAAUAGAGAUUCUCAAGAUUAAAGAAGCUGCCUAGUACAGGAAAUGGGGGUGAGCAACAAAUCUGACAACAUACAUAAUUAAAAUUGAAUGGACCAUAUAACAUGCCUGGGAAUCUCAAAUAUUACUUGUGAAAGAUUCUUGAAACAGAAGACACAUGAUUAGGCAAAACCCACAAUAGACUGUAUUCUUAGAAAUCAUCUUACUACCUUGUGACUCUGCUUACUAUUAGAUCAGAAUGGGAAUAAAAUGUAUGUAAUCAGAUACGAGAAUGAAUGUGGGAUGGCAAGACCUACAAUAAAAGCAAAUGUCUUUGAGGGAGCCUGGCUGGCUCAGUUGGAAGAGUGUGUGACUCUUGAUGUCAGGGUCAUCAGUUUGAGCCCCACAUUGGGUGUAGAGAUUACUUUAAAAAAUAGAUAAAUAAACUUAAAAAAAAAGUUCAAAUGUCUUUGUAUAAAAGUCAACUAUAGAACAACCAGACAGAAGAUAAAGCAAUAGAGGACUUCAUAAUAACCUAACUGGAUCUAACAGGCAUAUAUACAACACUCUACCCAACAAGAGUAUACGCAUUCUUCACAAGUGCACUUGGUGUAUUUUCCAGGAUAGACCAUAUUUUUGGGCCACAAAUUGAGUCUCGAUGGAUUUUAAAAGAUAGAUAUCAUAGAAAGUGUCUUCUCUGACCAUGAUAAGAUGAAGAACAUUGAUUCUUGAUCUCAGCUCAGGUCUUCAUCUCAGGGUCAUGAGUUCAGCCUCAUGUUGAGCCUACUUAAAAAAAAAAUAACGGGGGGCACCUGGGUGGCUCAGUCGGUUAAGCGUCUGACUUCGGCUCAGGUCACGAUCUCACAGUUCGUGAGUUUGAGCCCCACGUCGGGCUCUGUGCUGACAGCUCAAAGCCUGGAGCCUGUUUCAGAUUCUGUGUCUC